GACGAACGCUGGCGGCGCGCCUAACACAUGCAAGUCGAACGAGAGAUGAGGAGCUUGCUCUUCAAAUCGAGUGGCGAACGGGUGAGUAACGCGUGAGGAACCUGCCUCAAAGAGGGGGACAACAGUUGGAAACGACUGCUAAUACCGCAUAAGCCCACGGCUCGGCAUCGAGCAGAGGGAAAAGGAGCAAUCCACUUUGAGAUGGCCUCGCGUCCGAUUAGCUAGUUGGUGAGGUAAUGGCCCACCAAGGCAACGAUCGGUAGCCGGACUGAGAGGUUGAACGGCCACAUUGGGACUGAGACACGGCCCAGACUCCUACGGGAGGCAGCAGUGGGGAAUAUUGCACAAUGGGGGAAACCCUGAUGCAGCGACGCCGCGUGGAGGAAGAAGGUCUUCGGAUUGUAAACUCCUGUUGUUGAGGAAGAUAAUGACGGUACUCAACAAGGAAGUGACGGCUAACUACGUGCCAGCAGCCGCGGUAAAACGUAGGUCACAAGCGUUGUCCGGAAUUACUGGGUGUAAAGGGAGCGCAGGCGGGAGAACAAGUUGGAAGUGAAAUCCAUGGGCUCAACCCAUGAACUGCUUUCAAAACUGUUUUUCUUGAGUAGUGCAGAGGUAGGCGGAAUUCCCGGUGUAGCGGUGGAAUGCGUAGAUAUCGGGAGGAACACCAGUGGCGAAGGCGGCCUACUGGGCACCAACUGACGCUGAGGCUCGAAAGUGUGGGUAGCAAACAGGAUUAGAUACCCUGGUAGUCCACACCGUAAACGAAGAUUACUAGGUGUGGGAGGAUUGACCCCCUCAGUGCCGCAGUUAACACAAUAAGUAAUCCACCUGGGGAGUACGACCGCAAGGUUGAAACUCAAAGGAAUUGACGGGGGCCCGCACAAGCAGUGGAGUAUGUGGUUUAAUUCGACGCAACGCGAAGAACCUUACCAAGUCUUGACAUCCUGCGACGCACAUAGAAAUAUGUGUUUCCUUCGGGACGCAGAGACAGGUGGUGCAUGGUUGUCGUCAGCUUGUGUCGUGAGAUGUUGGGUUAAGUCCCGCAACGAGCGCAACCCUUAUGGUCAGUUACUACGCAAGAGGACUCUGGCCAGACUGCCGUUGACAAAACGGAGGAAGGUGGGGAGGACGUCAAAUCAUCAUGCCCCCUAUGACUUGGGCUACACACGUACUACAAUGGCGUUAAACAAAGAGAAGCAAGACCGCGAGGUGGAGCAAAACUCAGAAACAACGUCCCAGUUCGGACUGCAGGCUGCAACUCGCCUGCACGAAGUCGGAAUUGCUAGUAAUCGUGGAUCAGCAUGCCACGGUGAAUACGAUCCCGGGCCUUGCACA
rnacentral:rRNA from 1 species